GUCUCCCCUCUUUGAAAUCUUCUGCUUGAUGGAGGAACAUUCCACGUCACCGUGAAAAUGGCGGUGCACGAUUCUCUUCGAUUACAUAUUACAUCUGACAAGUUCAUCAUCGAGCCGACUAAUGCAGCUGCAAAUGAGCUGCUGGUUAUCGACCGGGUGUCCCAGGAAAUAACACUGCAAGUGAACCAGGGCCAGAUUCCUGCUGCUGCUAUCACCAAACUUAUCUAUGGAGUCGUGGGCAUCAUCCGACUUGUGGCAGGUCCAUACCUGAUUGUGAUGACGAAGCGUGAGAAGGUUGGUGAGAUCAACGGGCACACGAUAUGGCAGCUGACCGACACAGAAACCCAUUCCUACAAGAGAACCAUGCUGCAUCUCACAGAGCAACAGGCCUCCUACAACCGGAGCUACUUGUCCAUGGUGGACCUGAUCCUGAAGACAGAUGCCUUCUACUUCUCCAACACCUUCGACCUGACACACUCACUGCAGCGUCUACAGAACACCAGCUCCGACUUCUCGUCACUUGCCCUGCAUGAGAGGGCUGACCAGAGGUUUGUGUGGAAUGGCCACAUCCUGCGAGAGUUGGCACAGCAACCAGAGCUGGGGCAGUACUGCCUCCCCAUGGUGCACGGCUUCAUCAGCAUUAACAGCACCAGCAUCAACAACAAAAACUUCGACUACAUCAUCAUCUCCCGCAGGUGUAUAUAUCGGGCUGGCACCAGGUUCUACGUUCGAGGAGUAGAUACGGAAGGCCAGGUUGCCAACUUCGUUGAAACUGAACAAAUCGUGCAAUGUGAUGGCAUCAGAUGCUCUUUUGUACAGACUCGGGGCUCCAUCCCACUGUUCUGGAGCCAGAAACCCAAUCUCAAGCGGAUGCCCCUGCCUGUCAUAAACAGUGCCACGAAUCAUAUGGAUGGUUUCCAGCGGCACUUUGAUGAUCAGAUUUACAACUACGGGAAACAAGUGCUAAUUAAUUUAGUCAACCAGAAAGGCUACGAGCUUCAAAUGGAACAAGCUUUUGCCCAGACUGUGGUCAACUCCCAGAACUCUAACAUCAGGUACGAGUCAUUUGACUUCCACAAGGAGUGCAGCAAGAUGAGAUGGGAUCGCCUGUCAAUACUCACAGACAAGUUGGCGGAGGAGAGGAGACAGUUUGGGUACUUCAUGCAUGGGAAGGACGGUAGUGUGCUGUCAUCACAACAGGGUGUGUUCCGAACCAACUGCAUGGACUGCCUUGACCGCACCAAUGUCGUCCAGAGUCUUCUGGCAAAAGAUAACCUGCUUGACCAGUUCCAGAGAUUGGGAAUACUAGCUCAGGGAGAACGGAUCCCGGAGAAAUGUCAGUUUGACACCGUCUUCAAGAAUGUCUGGGCUGACAAUGCAGACACUCUCUCCAAGCAGUAUGCUGGAACAGGGGCUUUGAAGACAGAUUUCACCAGGACAGGGAGGAGGACCAAGAUGGGGCUGAUGAUGGAUGGCUGGAACUCCCUCAUCAGGUACUUCCUCAACAACUUCCAGGACGGUUUCCGACAGGAUGCCAUUGACCUGUUCCUUGGCAACUACCAGGUGGAGGAGACCGAGGGCCUGACCUCAACAUCCCCUCUCACGGUGGAGAGGGACUGGAAGUUUUAUGCUAUACCUGUGAUAUUUUUGGUUGCCAUGGCAAUGUUUGUCAUCAGCAUCUUACUGCCAGAUGAACACUUCAGUGAACAAGUGAUGUAUGUGUUUUUCUGGGGAGCUGCCUCUGUGAUUGCCUUGACUGUCAUGUUUGCAUUUGGCAGCGAAUAUGUGGACCAACCCAAACUCACCCAAGCCAAGACCAAGACAGAAUAGCUAUAUGAUCGGGGAAUAUUCAUUGUGUGAUGGACUUGUUUUGGCUUUACAAUGUUGUGACGAAGCUCUACUAGUGAUCACCAGUUUGUCAGCCAUGUUGAUAUGCUACUGUUGAAUCAUUUCUGAAAUGAGUUAGUUUCAUGAACAAUCUUGGCAUCACCAUUAUCACUGACAAAGAUAUUUACUAAGUCCGAGUCUUCAGCAGGCCUGAGCUUGUUCUGAGACAGAAGGUAACACAAGUGUCUGGAUGUAUGGAGUGGGUCAUGUCACAUGGGUGUCAAGGGCCAAGGAGCAGUGGGUCAGGGGUCAUAAAACAGGGGGUCAGGGAUCAUGUAGCAAGGGGUCAAGGACCAUGUCACAAGGAUUCAUGUCAGAAGAGUUCAUGUAGCUGGGGUCAGGGGUCAUACAGCUGGGGAAACAUCUAUUAAUUUGUAACUCUAGUAAUGAAAAGGACCUGUCGAUUUUGAGUUUUGUCUGAUAGCAAAGAAAGAAAUGGAAGUAAUUUUUUUCAGACAUUUUGCAGACAACUGUAAAACUAGUUAAUACUAGUGUGAGAAAGGUGUAACAGUGUGAGCGUACCACUACCACUGGUUCACAUCUCCAGUCAUAUGAAGUAUUACUACACCUAGAAAUGCCUGCUGAGUACUGUAGGGUACCAUUACCUGAUCAGAGGCUAGCUGAGUACUGUAGGUACCAGUAUCUGAUCAGAGGCUAGCUGAGUACUGUAGGGUACCAUUACCUGAUCAGAGGCUAGCUGAGUACUGUAGGGUACCAGUAUCUGAUCAGAGGCUAGCUGAGUACUGAAGGUACCAUUACCUGAUCAGAGGCUAGCUGAGUACUGUAGGGUACCAGUAUCUGAUCAGAGGCUAGCUGAGUACUGUAGGUACCAGUAUCUGAUCAGAGGCUAGCUGAGUACUGUAGGGUACCAGUAUCUGAUCAGAGGCUAGCUGAGUACUGCAGGUACCAGUAUCUGAUCAGAGGCUAGCUGAGUACUGUAGGUACCAUUACCUGAUCAGAGGCUAGCUGAGUACUGUAGGGUACCAGUAUCUGAACAGCGGCUAGCUGAGUACUGUAGGUACCAGUAUCUGAUCAGAGGCUAGCUGAGUACUGCAGGUACCAGUAUCUGGUCAGAGGCUAGCUGAGUACUGUAGGGUACCAGUAUCUGGUCAGAGGCUAGCUGAGUACUGUAG
rnacentral:misc_RNA from 1 species